CGCGUGCGAGGAAGCAGGAGGUUGCCGGUUUACCGGGUAAUUUUUGCGGAGCAAGUCUUGCUAUAAGCAAGGCGA
rfam:Dethiosulfatibacter aminovorans DSM 17477 genome assembly, contig: EJ55DRAFT_scaffold00027.27